UCGAGUGAAUCUAUCUAGUAAAUCUAUAUCUAAUGAGUCUACAAAAUAGAUUCACUCGAUACUGUAGACUCAUUAGAUAUAGAUUUACUAAAUAGAUUCACUC
rnacentral:pre_miRNA from 1 species